rnacentral:rRNA from 1 species
UACGUAGGAGACGAGCGUUGUCCGGAAUCACUGGGCGUAAAGCGCGUGUAGGCGGAUCGGCAAGUCUGCUGUGAAAGCUCCUGGCUUAACCGGGAGAGGUCGGUGGAAACUGCGGGUCUGGAGGACGGUAGAGGCUGGUGGAAUUCCCGGUGUAGUGGUGAAAUGCGUAGAGAUCGGGAGGAACACCUGUGGCGAAGGCGGCCAGCUGGGCCGGACCUGACGCUGAGACGCGAAGGCGUGGGGAGCGAACGGG